GGUUUAAACCGGAGGAAGGUGGGGACGANGUNAAGUCNUCAUGGCCUUUAUGCCCAGGGCUGCACACGUGUUACAAUGGCACGCACAGAGGGAAGCGAACCCGUGAGGGCCAGCCAAUCCCAAAAAACGUGCCCCAGUUCAGAUCGAAGGCUGCAANUCGCCUUCGUGAAGUUGGAAUCGCUAGUAAUCGCGGGUCAGCAACACCGCGGUGAAUGUGUUCCUGAGCCUUGUACACACCGCCCGUCAAGCCACGAAAGAUCGGGG
rnacentral:rRNA from 1 species